rnacentral:rRNA from 1 species
AUUGAACGCUGGCGGCAUGCCUUACACAUGCAAGUCGAACGGCAGCACGGGAGCAAUCCUGGUGGCGAGUGGCGAACGGGUGAGUAAUAUAUCGGAACGUGCCCAGUCGUGGGGAUAACGUAGAGAAAUUUACGCUAAUACCGCAUACGAUCUAAGGAUGAAAGCGGGGGACCGUAAGGCCUCGCGCGAUUGGAGCGGCUGAUAUCAGAUUAGGUUGUUGGUGAGGUAAAAGCUCACCAAGCCGACGAUCUGUAGCUGGUUUGAGAGAACGACCAGCCACACUGGGACUGAGACACGGCCCAGACUCCUACGGGAGGCAGCAGUGGGGAAUUUUGGACAAUGGGCGCAAGCCUGAUCCAGCAAUGCCGCGUGCAGGAUGAAGGCC